rnacentral:rRNA from 1 species
AACGAACGCUGGCGGCAUGCCUAACACAUGCAAGUCGAACGAGACCUUCGGGUCUAGUGGCGCACGGGUGCGUAACGCGUGGGAACCUGCCCUUAGGUUCGGAAUAACUCCCCGAAAGGGGUACUAAUACCGGAUAAUGUCUACGGACCAAAGAUUUAUCGCCUUUGGAUGGGCCCGCGUUGGAUUAGCUAGUUGGUAGGGUAAAAGCCUACCAAGGCGACGAUCCAUAGCUGGUCUGAGAGGAUGAUCAGCCACACUGGGACUGAGACACGGCCCAGACUCCUACGGGAGGCAGCAGUGGGGAAUAUUGGACAAUGGGCGAAAGCCUGAUCCAGCAAUGCCGCGUGAGUGAUGAAGGCCUUAGGGUUGUAAAGCUCUUUUACCCGGGAUGAUAAUGACAGUACCGGGAGAAUAAGCUCCGGCUAACUCCGUG